rnacentral:rRNA from 1 species
GCGAAAGAAAGAAAGAGCGAACGGAGGAUGCCUUGGCUAUCCGGAGGCGAAGAAGGACGUGGUAAGCUGCGAUAAGGCGCGGGGAUUUGCAAACAGGAUUUGAUCCGCGCAUAUCCGAAUGGGGGAACCCACAUGGUUGAAGACCAUGUACCAUCGUUAAGAUGGAGCGAACCCGGGGAACUGAAACAUCUUAGUACCCGGAGGAGAAGAAAGAAAGAAUCGAUACCCUGAGUAGUGGCGAGCGAAAGGGGCAGAGCCUAAACCGUGCUGUUUACGGACAGUGCGGGGUCAUAGGACCUCUCAUGACGACUUAUUAGGAAACUGGAAGGCUGUGGAAACAGCUGCCGCAGAGGGUGACAGUCCCGUACAGGCAACCGUGAUAAGUCAAGAGAGGCACCUGAGUAGGGCGGGGCACGUGGAUCUCAUAUUCCCAGGUGAUCAGGUAUCUGCGCCAUUCGCUGCGGUAAACCGCCUGAUAUGCG